GCAGUGGUGGUUCAGUGGUAGAAUUCUCACCUUGCAUGCAAGAGACCCAGGUUCAAUUCCUGGCCAAUGCA
rfam:Loxodonta africana unplaced genomic scaffold scaffold_4, whole genome shotgun sequence.